rnacentral:rRNA from 1 species
UCUCACUCCCCUUUUCCUUUUCACUACACUCGUCGUCCUCGUACGGUGGAUGAUCCUACUGAUGUGCCCUCUACUUCCGGUGCACCACCUCUCACCCCUCCACCGGUCCAUAACCUUCGCGUUCGGCCUUGUCCCCCACCCGAUCGCUAUUCUCCUGACCACUAUGGUCUCUCUGCCAUUACUGAGCCCACCACCUAUCAGGCUGCCAUGACUCAGCCUGAAUGGCAGCUUGCGAUGGCCGAGGAGCUUGCGGCGCUUGAGCGCAAUGGCACGUGGGAUCUGGUUUCUCCUCCUUCUGGUGUUCGUCCCAUCAUGUGCAAGUGGGUCUAUAAGAUUAAGACUCGCUCUGAUGGUUCUCUUGAACGUUAUAAAGCUCGUCUUGUGGCUCGUGGCUUUUAG